UGACAUUUUCUUCUUAAAAAUGGUAUUUCCUGUUUGGUUUGUUAGAUGUGACUGAAUCUUAAUUAUUUGUGUGUGAAUUUAGUUAUUUGUGUGGUAACCUAGUCUAUAAUUUCUACUUGAAAAUUUCAGCUGAUCAUGUGGCCUAAUUUUGUCAAGAUGUCGUCUCUUUUUCCUGUACGUACCGGCUGUACGUUUUGUAAGAAACACUUCAGAACAAAUCAGGUCAUGAUCAGAUCUAUGGAAAAUAUUCUGUCUAGGGAAUGACGCCUCAAAAGAAUUAAAGAAAGAACUGCGGUUGCAAUCUUCAACAAUCUUGCGUAACAAUAUUGCACGAAUUUUGAUGCUGAAAGACUUUGAAACGAUGCUGUCCACCACGUCGAGAAGCUGAGUAACAUUCUGCUUGUACAAUGGCACCUCUUCAUAAAAGGAACCUAAGCCAUCCAAUCUAGGGCUUCCAUCCAGUCGUGCAGGUUGCAUGGAAGUUGCAUUUACCUUUGCUGUGAACAUCAUGAACACAUACACUAUUUGAAGGUUCAUGUUUACAUAGCAGUGGUGUUGCUGUCCAAUGUGGUGUGCUGUUGCGUGCAGCCUAUGGUGGUGAAAGAUAUCUGCAUCAAGUUGCUGUUCCUUGUGCAUCCAAGGUGCUGGUUUUGUGCUACAGAAGUGACAUGCAAUAUUGUGUUUAAUUGCUA